AGACCCGAAACCCGGUGAUCUAGCCAUGGGCAGGUUGAAGGUUGGGUAACACUAACUGGAGGACCGAACCGACUAAUGUUGAAAAAUUAGCGGAUGACCUGUGGCUGGGGGUGAAAGGCCAAUCAAACCGGGAGAUAGCUGGUUCUCCCCGAAAGCUAUUUAGGUAGCGCCUCGUGAAUUCAUCUCCGGGGGUAGAGCACUGUUUCGGCUAGGGGGCCAUCCCGGCUUACCAACCCGAUGCAAACUGCGAAUACCGGAGAAUGUUAUCACGGGAGACACACGGCGGGUGCUAACGUCCGUCGUGAAGAGGGAAACAACCCAGACCGCCAGCUAAGGUCCCAAAGUCAUGGUUAAGUGGGAAACGAUGUGGGAAGGCCCAGACAGCCAGGAUGUUGGCUUAGAAGCAGCCAUCAUUUAAAGAAAGCGUAAUAGCUCACUGGUCGAGUCGGCCUGCGCGGAAGAUGUAACGGGGCUAAACCAUGCACCGAAGCUGCGGCAGCGAACGUAUCACUUAAAGCGAUUCAGCGGGUUACGAUUGACGGAGCGAAGCGACGUCAAAGCGUAUACAAAGUCGAGUCGGUUUAAGGAUACGUUCGUUGGGUAGGGGAGCGUUCUGUAAGCCUGUGAAGGUGGCCUGUGAGGGUUGCUGGAGGUAUCAGAAGUGCGAAUGCUGACAUAAGUAACGAUAAAGCGGGUGAAAAGCCCGCUCGCCGGAAGACCAAGGGUUCCUGUCCAACGUUAAUCGGGGCAGGGUGAGUCGACCCCUAAGGCGAGGCCGAAAGGCGUAGUCGAUGGGAAACGGGUUAAUAUUCCCGUACUUGGUGUUACUGCGAAGGGGGGACGGAGAAGGCUAUGUUGGCCGGGCGACGGUUGUCCCGGUUUAAGCGUGUAGGUGUGUGUUCCAGGUAAAUCCGGUUCACUUUAACACUGAGGCGUGAUGACGAGGCACUACGGUGCUGAAGCAACAAAUGCCCUGCUUCCAGGAAAAGCCUCUAAGCAUCAGGUAACAUCAAAUCGUACCCCAAACCGACACAGGUGGUCAGGUAGAGAAUACCAAGGCGCUUGAGAGAACUCGGGUGAAGGAACUAGGCAAAAUGGUGCCGUAACU
rnacentral:rRNA from 2 species